rnacentral:rRNA from 1 species
UCAAAGUUCGGAAUUGACUUAGUGGCGGACUGGUGAGUAACGCGUGAGGAACCUGCCUUUCAGAGGGGGACAACAGUUGGAAACGACUGCUAAUACCGCAUGACACAUAGAGGUUGCAUGACCUUUAUGCCAAAGAUUUAUCGCUGAAAGAUGGCCUCGCGUCUGAUUAGCUAGUUGGUGAGGUAACGGCCCACCAAGGCGACGAUCAGUAGCCGGACUGAGAGGUUGACCGGCCACAUUGGGACUGAGAUACGGCCCAGACUCC